rnacentral:lncRNA from 1 species
UUGUUAUGCCUUAGUGAUCCCUCAAUGGUUUAUAUGGAGAGUCCGUAGUCAAUGGGCAAAAGUAAGUUGCUUCCAGUGGAUAGCUGACCACAAGUGACAUCGGAUGAAUGUCCAACAUAAAGAAUGCAAGGCAGGAGGCCACUGGCUAAGUCAUCCAUGGGUCGUAACUAACGAAGGGUUCUUCAUUGAUAAUCAUGUCUUACCACAUGUCAUGAAGGAGUGGAU